GGGAAGGGCCUUUGGAAAACCUUCCCAACUUGAAUGCCGAAGAGGGUAAGGGGAAUUCCCAUGGGUGGCGGGAAAAUGCGUAGAAUAUUAUGGAGGAACCACCAGUGGGGAAGGGGCCUUUCUGGGUUCUGUGAUGACGGUGAGGCUCGAAAGCGUGGGUAGCGACCAGGAUUGAAUACCCUGGUAGUCCACGCCGUAAACGAUGAGCGCUAAGGGUUGGAGGGUUUCCCGCCCCUUUCAGUGCUGGAGUUAACGCAUUAAGCACUCCGCCUGGGGGAGUACGGCCGCAAGGCUGAAACUCAAAGGAAUUGACGGGGACCCGCACAAGCGGUGGAGCAUGUGGUUUAAUUCGACGCAACGCGAAGAACCUUACCAGCUCUUGACAUCUUCUGUUCACCCUAGAGAUAGGGCUUCCCCUUCGGGGGCAGAAAGACAGGUGGUGCAUGGUUGUCGUCAGCUCGUGUCGUGAGAUGUUGGGUUAAGUCCCAUAACGAGCGCAACCCUUAUUGUUAGUUGCCAGCAUUCAGUUGGGCACUCUAGCGAGACUGCCGGUGAUAAACCGGAGGAAGGUGGGGAUGACGUCAAAUCAUCAUGCCCCUUAUGAGCUGGGCUACACACGUGCUACAAUGGACGGUACAACGGGUAGCGAGGGCGCGAGCCUUAGCAAAUCCUAAUAAGCCGUUCUCAGUUCGGAUUGUUCUCUGCAACUCGAGAGCAUGAAGCCGGAAUCGCUAGUAAUCGCGGAUCAGAAUGCCGCGGUGAAUACGUUCCCGGGUCUUGUACUCACCGCCCGUCA
rnacentral:rRNA from 1 species